CUCUUAUGUCUCCUGGAUUGGCAGACAGGUUCUUUACCCCUAGAGCCACCCAGGAAACCCACUGUUGGUUAGACAAAUCUACAAGUCUGUCCACUGAUAAAUGAAUCUUAGCCAGGGCUGGGGGCAGGCACGGAACCAUCUCUCUACCAGACUGGACUGAGCUGUCUGAGGUUUUCUCAUCUCUAAACAACGCUGGGACAAAAGAAGAUGUAUUCCAUGUAAACCAAUUAUGGGGAACAGAGGAAUUUAACAAGAUAGCAAUGUAAGCCAGGGAAUACUGGCAGCUGGCCAUGACGAGGCAGAAGAGGAGCACCCACAUGUCUUUGCAAAAGCCUUGGUUCAAUGUCAGAAAUCCGA